rnacentral:rRNA from 1 species
UACGGAGGAUCCAAGCGUUAUCCGGAUUCAUUGGGUUUAAAGGGUGCGUAGGCGGAACGAUAAGUCAGUGGUGAAAGCCUGUAGCUUAACUACAGAACUGCCAUUGAUACUGUCGAUCUUGAGUAUAUUUGAUGUGGGCGGAAUGUGUCAUGUAGCGGUGAAAUGCUUAGAUAUGACACAGAACACCGAUUGCGAAGGCAGCUCACAAAAACUAUAACUGACGCUGAGGCACGAAAGCGUGGGGAUCAAACAGG